ACUAACAUCCACAAGUGGCUAGGAUACAUCGCUCUCAUAGCAAGCGCCGAUGUGGCCGGGGUUCGAUUCCCCGUGACGGAA